rnacentral:rRNA from 1 species
GAGUUUGAUCCUGGCUCAGGACGAACGCUGGCGGCGUGCCUAAUACAUGCAAGUCGAGCGAAUCGAUGGGAGCUUGCUCCCUGAGAUUAGCGGCGGACGGGUGAGUAACACGUGGGUAACCUGCCUGUAAGACUGGGAUAACUUCGGGAAACCGGAGCUAAUACCGGAUACUUUCUUUUCUCGCAUGAGAGAAGAUGGAAAGAUGGUUUCGGCUAUCACUUACAGAUGGACCCGCGGCGCAUUAGCUAGUUGGUGAGGUAACGGCUCACCAAGGCGACGAUGCGUAGCCGACCUGAGAGGGUGAUCGGCCACACUGGGACUGAGACACGGCCCAGACUCCUACGGGAGGCAGCAGUAGGGAAUCUUCCGCAAUGGACGAAAGUCUGACGGAGCAACGCCGCGUGAGCGAAGAAGGCCUUCGGGUCGUAAAGCUCUGUUGUUAGGGAAGAACAAGUAUCGGAGUAACUGCCGGUACCUUGACGGUACCUAACCAGAAAGCCACGGCUAACUACGUGCCAGCAGCCGCGGUAAUACGUAGGUGGCAAGCGUUGUCCGGAAUUAUUGGGCGUAAAGCGCGCGCAGGCGGUCCUUUAAGUCUGAUGUGAAAGCCCACGGCUCAACCGUGGAGGGUCAUUGGAAACUGGGGGACUUGAGUGCAGAAGAGGAGAGUGGAAUUCCACGUGUAGCGGUGAAAUGCGUAGAGAUGUGGAGGAACACCAGUGGCGAAGGCGACUCUCUGGUCUGUAACUGACGCUGAGGCGCGAAAGCCAGGGUAGCGAACGGGAUUAGAAACCCCGGUA